AGGCAUUGCUCAAACCAGCAGAGACUGGCUGUCCAUGAAGCAAGGACAGACACGUUGUUUUGUAUUUUAAUAUGUGCCCAUCAAUGAUCUGAAUGAGAUUUGGACCGAAGCCGCAGUGACUGCAAGAACUGGCUUUAACACCAGGGGGCAGAUUCAGACAGAAAGCCAGCUAUUUACAGGAAAGUGCCACACAGAGCUCACGGCUGUGAAAACGGAGUGCCCAAAGCCCCCCAAACUCACCUGCGUUUGAGUUUUUCUGCAAGUUCAUCCAGGAUCUGCACUGCCUGCCUGUGGUAGUCCAGCUGAGCAUCCACCAGGGCCGACAGCUGGCUCACCUGCUCGAUAUCAGUUUCUAGGAGGUUGUGCAUACUGGUCUCUGCUACUUCCUUGGACUCUUCAAAUUUCUCCAUGGCCUGUCGGAGUUCCUCAUCAGGGAUUUUUCCCUGUCGCUUCUUCUUGUAAUCAAAGUCCAAGCGUCUGCCUUCCAGCUUCUUGAGAUGGUGCUGGAUCUCUUUCAGGUCUUUGUCACACAGGUUCUGGAGGGGAUCAAUAAAAUUUUGUUUGACUUCAAUAUCCAGCGAGUCCUUCACUUCAGCCAACCGCUUCAUAGAUUCCCCAGCAUCAAGCAGCGCGUCGCCAAAGUUGGAGUCCUCGCCCAGCUCCUUGCCAUAGCGGAUCAUGCUCUCCCCCAGCAGCCCUUCUGACUGUGGGUAGCCAGGGUUCUUCACCUGCCCGCGGAUCUUCGACAUCGUGUUCAGCAUGGUUAGCUUGGCUCUGGAAGCUGGGUUUGGCUGCAGGUAUUCUAUUGUUCUGGUCAAUACUUCUGUAACUGCCUUGCUGGUCAAAUCCACUUUCUUUUCCAUUUCCUUGAAGUCAUCGUCAAGUUUGGUCCCUUCUGCCCCUCCAACCUUUUCGCUGACCAGCUGGCUCGCUUUGUAGAACUGCUUCUUCAGCCCCGCCACCGACAUGCUGCCUCCUGUGCCGGCCGGCCGCCUGGGGACGCGCAGCGGGCGGCGGGACGCCGCGGUGACACUCGGCAAACACGGAGCCCACCCGCAGCCCGCUCGGCCGCUGAACCGACGCCGUUUCCGCCGAGUCG
rnacentral:lncRNA from 1 species